GUGCCAGCAGCCGCGGUAAUACGGAGGGGGUUAGCGUUGUUCGGAAUUACUGGGCGUAAAGCGUACGUAGGCGGAUUAAUAAGUUAGAGGUGAAAUCCCAGGGCUCAACCCUGGAACUGCAUUUAAAACUGUUAGUCUUGAGAUCGAGAGAGGUGAGUGGAAUUCCAAGUGUAGAGGUGAAAUUCGUAGAUAUUUGGAGGAACACCAGUGGCGAAGGCGGCUCACUGGCUCGAUACUGACGCUGAGGUACGAAAGUGUGGGGAGCAAACAGGAUUAGAUACCCUGGUAGUCCACACCAUAAACGAUGAAUGCCAGACGUCAGCAAGCAUGCUUGUUGGUGUCACACCUAACGGAUUAAGCAUUCCGCCUGGGGAGUACGGUCGCAAGAUUAAAACUCAAAGAAAUUGACGG
rnacentral:rRNA from 1 species